rnacentral:ncRNA from 1 species
CGGUAUCCUAACCGUGCGAAGGUAGCGCAAUCAAUUGUCCCAUAAAUCGAGACUUGUAUGAAUGGCUAAACGAGGUCUUAACUGUCUCUUGCAGGUAAUCAGUGAAAUUGAUCUUCCCGUGCAAAAGCGGGAAUAUGAACAUAAGACGAGAAGACCCUGUGGAACUUAAAAAUCAACGGCCACCUUACACAAACUUAAACCUAUACAGGCCCACUAAAAUCAAAACGCUGGCCCGCAUUUUUCGGUUGGGGCGACCUUGGAGAAAAACAAACCCUCCAAAAAUAAGACCACACCUCUUAACCAAGAGCAACCCCUCAACGUACUAACAGUAACCAGACCCAAUAUAAUUGACCAAUGGACCAAGCUACCCCAGGGAUAACAGCGCAAUCUCCUCCAAGAGCCCAUAUCGACGAGGAGGUUUACGACCUCGAUGUUGGAUCAGGACAUCCUAAUGGUGCAGCCGCUAUUAAGGGUUCGUUUGUUCAACGAUUAACAGUCCUACGUGAUCUGAGUUCAGACCGGAGCAAUCCAGGUCGGUUUCUAUCUAUGACCAACUCCCCCUAGUACGAAAGGACCGGGGAAGUGAGGCCAAUGCUACAAGCAUGCCUCCCCUCUAAGUAAUGAACCCAACUAAAUUACCAAAAGGUCACCCACAUUACCUCGUCCUAGAAAAGGACCGCUAGCGUGGCAGAGCUCGGUAAAUGCAAAAGGCUUAAGCCCUUUACCCAGAGGUUCAAGUCCUCUCCCUAGCUUUA